CGUAGGUGGCAAGCGUUGUCCGGAAUUAUUGGGCGUAAAGCGCGCGCAGGCGGUCCUUUAAGUCUGAUGUGAAAGCCCACGGCUCAACCGUGGAGGGUCAUUGGAAACUGGGGGACUUGAGUACAGAAGAGAAGAGUGGAAUUCCACGUGUAGCGGUGAAAUGCGUAGAGAUGUGGAGGAACACCAGUGGCGAAGGCGACUCUUUGGUCUGUAACUGACGCUGAGGCGCGAAAGCGUGGGGGAGCAAACAGGAUUAGAUACCCUGGUAGUCCACGCUGUAAACGAUGAGUGCUAAGUGUUAGAGGGUUUCCGCCCUUUAGUGCUGCAGCUAACGCAUUAAGCACUCCGCCUGGGGAGUACGGCCGCAAGGCUG
rnacentral:rRNA from 1 species